CUGUUCGAGCGUCAUUUCAACCCUCAAGCCCUGGUUGCUUGGUGUUGGGAGCUUGCUGUGAAACGCAACUCCUCAAAGCUAGCUGGCAGAGUCGGGAUGCACUCUAAGCGUAGUAAACUUGAUAGUCUCGCUUCUGCAGUUGUCCCGGCCGUCUUGCCAUAAAAGCCCAAACUUUUUUGUUUUCUAUGGUUGACCUCGGAUCAGGUAGGAAUACCCGCUGAACUUAAGC
rnacentral:misc_RNA from 1 species